ACUCCAUUCAAGUGAACAGAGAGUGGUGACAUUUCCAUGUGGCAAACUGUGAUAUGCUCCUUUUCACCCUUAUUAUAAAUAUUUCCUUUGUGUUUUCACUGUUCUCCCAGCCCGAAGCUUGUUUGCAUGUUAAUGUUGCAGGGGUUAAUAUAUAAUAGUAAGUUAAUAUAUAAUAGUGUUCCGCCCCCUACCCGCCCUAUAAAUGCUACAAUGUGUUAUGUGUACAUAAAGGAUCCAGCAGCAGCAGCAGCAGGAGGAGGAGCCUGGUCUCUGACUAGACAUUAUGGCUUACAAAACGAUAAAUAACAUUUCUUAUGUGGUUAACUAUGAGCUGUGAAAUAUCAGUUGUUUAUAAGGUGUAAAAAAAAAGAUUUGUGAGUAAAGAGAAUAAUGGCUAUUCGGUGCAAUUGACAGCAUGCAAUGUAGGAGGAAAGAGCCCUCCACUGCCCCCUGCCUGGGUUCCACCACAAACUGACAAGCGACUCAUGUGCCUUUUGUUUUUCUCCUGCUGCUGGUCAUGAGACCCGGAAGUUGUUUUUUUUUCUAUAUCUAUCACAUGGCAGAGAGAUUUAAUAAAAACAGAAAAAUGGCGACAGUCACGUUGCUUAUGUUGCUGCGUCACUAGAUUGUCGGAGAGGCAGACGAGCGGUCUGUUUAUUACAGAACAUGCAAGGCAUUGUGGCAGUUGGAGUCCUGGCUGGAGGGGAGUUGACUACUGCAACAUUAUUUCAAUAGUUUAUGUAGUCAGAACCAGUUGUGCAGAGAUUAAAAAGGGCAAAUAGUUACCGUUCUCAAUGGCAAUUGCAUAUAUAAAUUAUUGAAAAUAUUUCAUAUAUAUUGGAAAGUUGUUCAGAAUUUGCUUUGAUCCCCUUUAUUCCACAAUGAUAAUACGAUGACUGGCUGUUUGAAGAGAUUGCAGAAGAUGUAUAUACAUUCAGAUCUGUUAGCUUUUGAAUAUAUAAUAGUGAUUUACAGGGGCACUGUGACUGACAGGCUGCCCUGGCUCAGUUAUCACAGUGCUGAUGCUGUCUACUCUAAAGGUACAGUACUGUGAUAACUGAAGGAUGGCAGCCAUCUUAACUUCAGCUUUUCACCAGAAGACAUUGUGAACAGACUAUUGGAUUCAAUGCUGAGUGACUUGUCACUGAAUGUUUGUGCCCAGCUGUACCCCUGAGGAAAACCAGAAUGCAGGGUCUGGUGAGAUCAAUCCCAUUUUUUGGAGGGCACUCAUAACUGGAAAGAGAGAAGUGGGGGACGCACCAGUUAACCCCUUUGGAAAUCUUUCUUACAUAUUUACACAUAAUUAUUAGCCUGGCAAUCCAUUGGGAAAGCUACCUCUAACCUAAUUACCAAAUUGCAGAACUAUAACUCACACCAUAUUAUUUCAGAGUUGGGGAACUAUAACUCACAGCAACUUCCGUUUAUGUAAUUGCUAUUUUAAAACUGGGGGAACCACCUAAUACAACCUAAGAGUAUUUGGAAAAUUGUAUCAUUAAGAUUUUAAAUAAGUGACCACCUACCUGAAGCAAUUUGAUAAUUAUCUUUUAUGUAUUUAUAUUGCUAUUUAUUGUGUUUCUGGCUGGCCAAAUUUUAAUUGGAAGAUUGUUAAUGUUAAAUAAAUAUGUAUACUUUCAGAAUUA